rnacentral:rRNA from 1 species
UACGAAGGUCCCAAGCGUUAUCCGGAUUUAUUGGGUUUAAAGGGUGCGUAGGCGGACUAUUAAGUCAGUGGUGAAAGCCCCAAGCCUAACUUGGGAACUGCCAUUGAUACUGAUGGUCUUGAGUACAUUUGAGGUGGGCGGAAUGUGUCAUGUAGCGGUGAAAUGCUUAGAUAUGACACAGAACACCGAUUGCGAAGGCAGCUCACUAAACUGUAACUGACGCUGAGGCACGAAAGCGUGGGGAGCAAACAGG